UGAGGAAUAUUGGGCAAUGCCCGCAAGGGUGACCCAGCAACGCCGCGUGGAGGAUGAAUGUCGUAAGAUUGUAAACUCCUGUUAGAGGGGAAGAAUAGUACCGGUUGGACCGGUAUAUGACUGUACCCUCAGAGAAAGCCCCGGCUAACUACGUGCCAGCAGCCGCGGUAAUACGUAGGGGGCAAGCGUUGUCCGGAUUUACUGGGUGUAAAGGGCGCGCAGGCGGGAUAAAAAGUCAGUGGUGAAAUCCUACAGCUUAACUGUAGCACUGCCUUUGAUACUUUUAUUCUUGAGUUCGGGAGAGAGAGACGGAAUUCCAGGUGUAGUGGUGAAAUACGUAGAUAUCUGGAAGAACACCAGUUGCGAAGGCGGUCUCUUGGUCCGACACUGACGCUGAGGCGCGAAAGCGUGGGGAGCAAACA
rnacentral:rRNA from 1 species